rnacentral:lncRNA from 13 species
GGGUUGACUCAUUUUAGACCAUUCCAUUGGUCCUGAAUAAAAAUCUCCACACAUCCGGGGCACCGGGCUAUGAAAAACUAAUCCGACCACUUCUUCGCUGUCUAAAAAGUGUACAGUUUGGUAAUGUAACGUUAUCGAGUUAAAUUCAUAUGUGCUUUCGGUUUAUAACUUCUUUUUUUAACUAGAAGCCCUGCGACACGGAGACAAACUAACGCAACAUGCAUGAAGAUUGAAACAGACUUGCAUCGUAGUUGCAGGACAAGCCGCAGCUUCUGAGCGGGGUAGAUGCAGGGAGGGAGGGAGUAAAAAAGUCUUUGUGCUUCCCCUCCCCCUCAUCAAAGCAAAGGGGGAAAUGUCUCUUUCGAAAGGAGGAAAGAAGAAGAACCCAGGCCUCAAGCUCUCCAAAGAGGUCUUUGAUCAGCCCCCACCUGCAGCCGCAGCGUAAGGCUUCUUCUCUGUCAUUGGUUGGCCGGAUUCCAGGGUAUCUCUUUCGUGGUCGCGCUGUGCAUCUCAGAAGAUCGCUACAUCANNNNNNNNNNUGCUGUCUGCUGAUAGAAUGCCUGUUUCAUGUAUUCUCAUCUGAGUGAAGUGCAACUGAAGCACAAAAUUAGUCUAGGCACAAAAAAAAAGCAUUUAAACCAGCAUUUUCCAAAACGUAGCAAGAUUUUUCUUUUGCGUUUUCCUUUUUUGUCUGUGUGAAAACACAGAAUUCUGUAUUUAACAGGACCUCUGCAAAUGUACCUGCCAAUAGCUGGCAGAAAUCAACCUGCCUCGGGCCCCGGAUGAGAGCAGAUCCUAAAUAUCUUUCUGCUGCAUCACUCCCACUCAUCCAAUGUUGUGCCGAUCAGGAGAGGAGGAAAGGGUCCAUGUUUAGACUAUAGAGGCACAGUCCUCGUCUGAAUCCCACGUUCCUUCAGUUGGGGUUGUUGUUUUACACCAGCAUGGUCCCAUUGCCCUAGCCUGGAUGAGAAGUCCCCACUUGUUGCUUGUGAACAGUGUUUAGGAAUGCACUGUAGUGUGCAUUUCACACAGGGAGAGGUCUCUGGUCUCCAUUGUGUAGGCAGAAGCAGACCUACUGCAGGAGCUAACAUGAGUCACUGUUCAGUGAGUAUUCCUCUGAUUAUGGUUGAGACUUUGGUUGGGACAAACCAAGGCGGUUAAAUUGCUGCUUGUAUGACAAUAGGGUUAGACAAAACUGAGGGUAAAUGAGUGAGGUAAUCUGUUUCUGCUUUCUCGCUCUCUGUGUCAUCGUUCUGAUUUAUGAGCGAGUCGUUCACCUGUUUUCUAUUGUUGAGUAAUCUCUGGGUAGAUAACAAAUGGAGCUGUACAGUCACUAACACCUUACGGUACAAGUCGGAAGUCCACACCAAAAACAGAACCAAGCAUUCUCACAACACAUGGUUCAACUGGGGGUUUCUCUGAUCUGCUUUAUUGAAAGUAAGAAUUGACAGGUCAUGGUAUAGAUAAGUUUUCUUAAAUAACUAGGCUGAUCUUUCCUCUCCUCUCAUAGGAAAGAAGAAGAACCCAGGCCUCAAGCUCUCCAAAGAGGUCUUUGAUCAGCCCCCACCUGCAGCCGCAGCGUAAGGCUUCUUCUCUGUCAUUGGUUGGCCGGAUUCCAGGGUAUCUCUUUCGUGGUCGCGCUGUGCAUCUCAGAAGAUCGCUACAUCAUAUUAACGUGGUUUCUGAGAUGGUGGGCUAAACACUUCUCCGGAUAUUGUGAGAGCUCAUCAUCUGUGCAGCACGACUCCAAAAAAGAUGCCCUGGAAAUUAGC